GACGUAGGGGGCAAGCGUUAUUCGGAAUCAUUGGGCGUAAAGCGCUCGUAGGCGGAUCGAACAGUCGGUGAAGAAAGACCUGGGCUCAACUCAGGGAACGGCACCGAUACUAUCGGUCUUGAGGCAAUCAGAGGAUGAUGGAAUUCCCGGUGUAGCGGUGAAAUGCGUAGAGAUCGGGAGGAAUACCUAUGGCGAAAGCAGGCUUCUGGGCCGUCACUGACGCUGAUCUGCGAAAGCUAGGGGAGCAAACAGG
rnacentral:rRNA from 1 species